ACAGCAGGAAAGACAAAGACAGUAACUUGCAGUUUUUCUUCACAUACACAGUUUUUCUGUACACAGCUGUAACCCUUGUGAUAACUUCAAGCCCUCUGCACACUUUUCAACUGAGACAGGAGACUUUAGACAGAAAAGGAGAGAAUAAUGGCAACUGUCAGCAGCAAUGAGUUUCAUCUUAUUGUCCCUGAGGAAGCUCACAG